CGGGCACAUCGCGUUGAAACAUCGGUUCCCGUACAGACACCGUAGUUAAGCAACCUCGAGCCUGAUCAGUACGUAGAUGGGUAACCGCUUGGGUAAUACCAGGAGUUGCU